GAUGAACGCUGGCGGCGUGCCUAAUACAUGCAAGUCGAGCGAACGGACGAGAAGCUUGCUUCUCUGAUGUUAGCGGCGGACGGGUGAGUAACACGUGGAUAACCUACCUAUAAGACUGGGAUAACUUCGGGAAACCGGAGCUAAUACCGGAUAAUAUUUUGAACCGCAUGGUUCAAAAGUGAAAGACGGUCUUGCUGUCACUUAUAGAUGGAUCCGCGCUGCAUUAGCUAGUUGGUAAGGUAACGGCUUACCAAGGCAACGAUGCAUAGCCGACCUGAGAGGGGGGUCGGCCCACCCUGAAACGGGACCACGGCCCAACCCCCUAGGGGAGGCACAGGAGGGGAACCUUCCGAAUGGGGGGAAAGCCUGACGGAGCAACGCCGGGGAGGUGUUGAGGGUUUUCGGGUCGAAAAACGUUUUUAUUGGGGAAAAAAAAUUUUGAAAGUAACUGUGACCAUUUUAAGGGAACCUAUAAAGAAGCCCCCGGUAAACUACGG
rnacentral:rRNA from 1 species